rnacentral:rRNA from 1 species
UACGGAGGAUGCAAGCGUUAUCCGGAAUGAUUGGGCGUAAAGCGUCCGCAGGUGGCAGUUCAAGUCUGCUGUCAAAGACCGGGGCUUAACUUCGGAAAGGCAGUGGAAACUGAACAGCUAGAGUAUGGUAGGGGCAGAGGGAAUUCCUGGAGUAGCGGUGAAAUGCGUAGAGAUCAGGAAGAACAUCGGUGGCGAAGGCGCUCUGCUGGACCAUAACUGACACUCAGGGACGAAAGCUAGGGGAGCGAAUGGG